rnacentral:rRNA from 1 species
CAAUAGCGUAUAUUAAAGUUGUUGCGGUUAAAAAGCUCGUAGUUGGAUUUCUGCCGAGGACGACCGGUCCGCCCUCUGGGUGAGUAUCUGGCUCGGCCUGGGCAUCUUCUUGGAGAACGUAGCUGCACUUGACUGUGUGGUGCGGUAUCCAGGACUUUUACUUUGAGGAAAUUAGAGUGUUUCAAGCAGGCAUACGCCUUGAAUACAUUAGCAUGGAAUAAUAAGAUAGGACCUCGGUUCUAUUUUGUUGGUUUGCGCACCAAAGUAAUGAUGAACAUGGACAGUUGGGGGUAUUUGUAUUUUCUUGUCAGAGGUGAAAUUCUUAGAUUUUGGAAAGACAAACAAUUGCGAAAGCAUUUACCAAGGAUGUUUUAAUUGAUCAAGAACGAAAGUAUGGGGAUCGAAGAUGAUUAGAUACCAU